rnacentral:sRNA from 1 species
ACUUAGUUUUCUGGGUAGCUGAUACUUGGUUGAAGUUAAUCAUCCAUCUCCAUUGCCCUCUGUCCUCCAGAACGCUAUAGCAAAUGCUUCAACUCUGGCUGAAGUGGAGAGGCUGAAGGGGUUGCUGCAGUCUGGUCAGAUCCCUGGCAGAGAACGCAGAUCGGGGCCCACUGAUGAUGGUGAAGAAGAGAUGGAAGAAGACACAGUCACAAACGGGUCCUGAGCAGUGAGGCAGAUGUAUAAUAAUAGGCCCUCUUGGAACAAGUCUUGCUUUUCGAACAUGGUAUAAUAGCCUUGUUUGUGUUAGCAAAGUGGAAUCUAUCAGCAUUGUUGAAAUGCUUAAGACUGCUGCUGAUAAUUUUGUAAUAUAAGUUUUGAAAUCUAAAUGUCAGUUUUCUACAAAUUAUAAAAAUAAACUCCACUCACUGUGCUA